GGGAGGGGCAGGUGAACAUCAGGGGACUGCUGUGGUAUGAGUCUCAGAGGGAAGAAAGCUUAGACGGGGAAGGGGUGCAAAGUGUGGCCAGGGUCUAACCUGCCUCCAUCUUCAGCUCCAGAGACCUGGCCAUAUCAAGAACAAGGGCAAGAAUGACUUCUGAACAGCAGAGAAGUCUCCCUCUCUCCAGCACAUCAAUUGAAGAGGCCAUAAAAUCACAGGAAAGGGAGUUGACAAUCACUGAAACCCUAUGGGACCAGGUACUAACAGCUUUUAAAGGCAUCCAAAAGGAGCUUCAGGAAGAUGCUCGGAUUCGAGGCAUGAGCAACUGUUCUGUGCCAUCUGUGCCACCUGUACCCCCCAGGACAGGGUAAGUGGCCCUCUUCUGAUGGUCUGGAAAAAGGAAUAGCAUCCACCCGGAUAUGGGUAUGGCGACCAGAAAUGUAGUUAGCUAUGAGCCUGCCUU